rnacentral:rRNA from 1 species
CCUACGGGAGGCAGCAGUGAGGAAUAUUGGUCAAUGGCCGCAAGGCUGAACCAGCCAUGCCGCGUGCAGGAAGACGGCGCUAUGAGUUGUAAACUGCUUUUGUACGAGGGUAAACGCAGAUACGCGUAUCUGUCUGAAAGUAUCGUACGAAUAAGGAUCGGCUAACUCCGUGCCAGCAGCCGCGGUAAUACGGAGGAUUCAAGCGUUAUCCGGAUUUAUUGGGUUUAAAGGGUGCGUAGGCGGUCUGAUAAGUUAGAGGUGAAAUCCCGAGGCUCAACUUCGGAAGUGCCUCUGAUACUGUCUGGCUAGAGAGUAGGUGAGGUAGGCGGAAUGCAUGGUGUAGCGGUGAAAUGCUUAGAGAUCAUACAGAACACCGAUUGCGAAGGCAGCUUACCAAGCUACUUCUGACGUUGAGGCACGAAAGCGUGGGGAGCAAACAGGAUUAGAUACCCUAGUAGUC